CUUACACACAAACACAUACAUGUCCCCACACAGAUACAAAACUUUCCUCAACCUCUUGGAAUCUCAAAAAAUAGUGGUUUCUUUUGUUUAUUGAAUUCCAGUUCUUCGAACAGGGCUAGAAACUACAACUAUAAAACAGAGUUUGAACAAAUUUAUUAUGCCAGUGCUCGCUCAUUAUCAUUUUGUAGAUUUGAAAUAGUAUCUCAAUUCUC
rnacentral:misc_RNA from 1 species